CUGGCCAAUGGUGCUACUCUUUAUAGCUCACAUGACGGCCUCGUCUCUUGCCUUUCUGCAUGGACAAAAUAUCGAGACAGACAGGAUUUAGGAGCUGGAACUAGAGCAACGGGAUGUCUUAAGGUGCUCAAGUUGCACAUUGUGAAGAAUUGCAGAUAUUAAAUGAAAGCAGCCUAUAUAUUUCUAGAUUUUGUUCGAACGGACUUUUCGCUGUUUUCCGUUGUUAAUAGCCCGCGGUAAAGUCGAAGUCUUUAAAAUUCUACAUUGAAAAUGAUUUGUUAUCAGGGAGGGAGGCGGAGGGAGAGGCCGAUGCCCUAAAGUGGUUUGCGGUCAUAUUCCACGGCAGAGGAGGGCCCGAGGAAGACGGAAGGCGCAGCUGUGCUGGGAGUGCGACGCCCCGAUGAAGGGGUCCACAGGACAGACACCUGCCCAGUCCAGUCCCACUGUUCUCCACCUCUCCCUCUCUUCACCAGGUCAAGACCCAAUAAGAGUGACAGGCCAAGGUGUGGAGGAGCACACACACUCACACACACUCACAUGCAUACACACACACACACACACACGCACACCGGCACACGCACCACAUCCAAGGACAGGUAAGUAGCACAAAGAAUGGCUCAAAACCUCUAACAGGAUCAAAAUGUGUAGUCAAAGCUGGGUGCUAUUUUUCCCCCUUUAAGAAAUAAAGCCUGUAACUCUGUAAACAAAAUGUAGUCUUUCUCCUGAAAUUAAUAUUUCUGUUGCACAUUCCUUCCUAUAUAUUAUUAUUAUUAUUAUUAUUAUUAUUAUUAUCAUUUUACAGUUGAAUGAUAACUCAAUAUCACUAAUGUUCCUUCCCAGCAUUUCCAGUUGUUACAGUAUAUAGGUUAAAACUUCAGACCUGUACAUAAAAGCGUUCUGGGAGGUUGGUACUCCCAGAUGGAAUCCUCGGUUUUUCACACUUGCCACUCAGAUGCGUUGGAAACAACAGGCAUGUAAAUGCAGCGCAUGUUACCGGGCAGUAACCCAACCUUACCACUGAUUGACUGACAGGGGCUCAAUCCCCGAGGUCUUUGCCUGUGACACAGAAAUCUACUUCUGACUCACUUCUGUCAUUCCUUGUUUAAGUGAGAUUUUCAGAAUGCCAGUAUUCCGUAUUUGAUAUUGCUUAGAGCAAGGAGAGUACAUUUGUGGCUUAUUUAUGACCCAUAGACUGGAGGCAGAAUUUGCUGCCUUCAAAUUAGAUUCUUGAUACAGUGUAUCUUUCUUACCCUUAGUUCUGUGUUACUCCGUUUUAUUACUUCACACCCGGAAAGGCAAGGCCAAGGCUGUGAACUGAAAGGGUUAUUCUGUGCAAGUAGAAAACCCAAGGCCAAAUUUGAGCUAGAAUGCUAAAAUUCCUCAAUUAAACUGCAUGUCACCUUUUUUCUUUGAAGACAUUUACUACUGGUCCAUUAAGUCUUUUCUAAUACUUUGCAUACAUGUAUUUGAAAUAGAUAAAGGGAUAUUCCUUUCAGGAUUUCUUGAUUUUAGCCUGUAUUUACAAUCAAAGAAGUCUCCUGCUCGGUCUUCAGCCCCACCCACUCAAACCGAGUAAGUUAGCCCACCAGUAUAUGUUACCCUUAGCUUCACUAUUGCCUUGAUUUGUAUGUUUGUUUCUGUUCGUACUUUAUUCUGUACUCCCUUCUGUAUUACUGUCUUAUGUAUCUGUUUUGCCUUCUAUACUUAUUGUACGUACUGUUUUUUACCCUCUUAACUGUAAGUGACCUUGGGCUCUGAAAAGGUGCUAUAAAGGUGCUAUAAUAAUAAUAAUAAUAAUAAUAAUAAUUAUUAUUAUUAUAUGAAUGUAUUAAUAGAAUGACAGCACUGAAAGAGCAGUAAUUAAUUGUCUGUUGUGUUAUAAGAUAAGCGUUCAGAUAAACUGUCUCUUUCUGCCCCUCGACAAGUGAUGUAGGGGAUCCAUCAACUGUAGCAGAGGAGUUUUAAACCCUGUUGCUUUCCUUCUUUGUCAUUGCUCAUUCUGCCAGUGUAUUACACACAUAAAUAAGUCACCGCCUUUAUGCAGAUGGAACAGUCAGUUUACUUCAUCCUCAUAGCAGCAGUACUUCAACACAAAUGUGCUCCCCCAGUGUACACACAACCCAUAUAUAUCUUUAUAUAUUAAAUAUAUAUCUUGAUUUGGCUCUGUGCUCCAAACGUUUAGAUUUGUAAUCAAACAAUCCACGUGUGGUUAAAGUGCAGAUUCUCAGCUUUUAUUAAACGGUAUUUUAAUACAUUUUGGUUUCACUAUGUAGAUGUUCCAGCACUUUCUAGUCAAUUAUGUACAUCCUUCUGCCUUUUCCUUUUCCUCAGAUGGCACUGGGAUUGCUUGCAGGUAGUUAAUUCUGCCUUACAUCGUGUCUGGUAAGGUUUGGUUAGGAAUACUUUGGGAUGCAUUAUAUCUCCUAAAUCUGCUGCCAUAUGAGUUCAAAAGACACUGGAAUUCCUCGACUAGCAUUCAUUAGCGUCUCGGGCAUCACUGGGUGUCCUGGGUCCUCAUGGGCUGUUGUCUGCACCAUACCUUUACCUCUAAGACAAAGGACAUUACAGAGUACAUACCAGGGUGCCCUUGAGCAAGGUAGUUAAGCAGAAUUACUUCAGUAUAUGUCCAACUGUGUAAAUGGGUACCAUGUAAAAAAUAUAAAAUUGCAUAUAUUGCUGUGAAUAUCUGCUAAAAUGCCAGUAAUGUAAUGUAAUCAUUCUUUUCUAUUGGGUUUCCACUGGGUUCAUGAUGUUUCCCUCAGAUCAUUGCACUCAAGAAUUCUCUAUCCUCAUUUGACCUAUGUUAGAGAAAUUCAGCUGAAGUCGCCCACAAAUUUUUUUCUUCCUACAUCGACCAAUGCCUGCUCUGCAUGCUCCCGCCACAAGUGAACUUGAACCCCACAAAAAGAAGUAGCUACAGUUAUAGAAUAAUUAAACACGCUGGCUCCUGUUAAAGCAACACAUGCAAUCAAGUUAUAGUCAAGUAAAAAAUGAAAUACAAACAAAAAUGCAGUAUAAUUACACUUAUGUUCCUUUAAUACAUAAUAUGAAAUCCGAUUACAUUUGUAUCAUGCUUCCCAUGCAGACUUCUGUCAGGACCACUGUCAUCAAGUAGAACUUUAUUGACAAUAAAGGCAAUA